AUUGUCUUGAAAAGAGGGAGCCUGUCGUUUUUUAAAGAAGAGGUUAGUGUGUCACCAAAGCAGGUGAAGGUAUUCCAUGGCAGACCUGCAGGAGCGGAAGUGCUCAGAAAACACAGAGCAAGGAGGGGAGAAGCACAGCUCAAAAGGCAACUAGUUAGCAGCUGGCACCGUGACCUUUAACUGCAUCCAUGAUCCUAGCAUUCAAAGCCAAUCAUCUUUGAAGAAAAGAAUUUUAAAAAGCUGCGAGGCUAUUAAAGACGGUGGCAUACCACAAAGCUGAUUGUGAACGGGGACUCUGAAGUUAUGAAUUCUGGACUUAAUGACUGUUACUGCCUCUUCUAUUAUUUUCUUUAAUGAAUCUUAUUAUUUGUCAGUGUACGCUUCCUUUUAUGGGGCUCCGACACACUUGGUGCCUGGCUCUCCACUGGACCCCCAGCUAGUCCCGAACAGGCCAGAAGCGACCCCCCACUUUUUUGGCUCAGUCUGCAUGCAAAGAGUGGGGGCCACCUGAUGGUCUGAACAAACUGGGAAGGAAACCAGGCAUUUCUCCAGAGCAGGAAAACUCUCUGGAGAGGAUGGGUGAGGAACAGUUCUGAUUCCAGAAAAAACUUCUCCAGUUACUCAGUGUAUCCUGACUGCAGGGGUGAAUCAGUCCUAUCACAGAAGACUUGUGGAAAAAAGCUCAGCGCAGCAGACGUGGGCCACAUUUUCUGUCCAGAUACUUCUAGAAGAAUCCCAGACAUCUUUGGAGAGUGUGAAUUGGAGGAAAGUUUGUCCCCUGGAUAUAGUGGAGAUGCCAUCACCAACAUGUAAAUACGAUUCAUGCAUCUGCAGGCACCCCAGAGACCACUGGUCAGACUACCAUUUCCCGAAGCCCAGCCUCUUCAUACCUUUGGUGAUCUCCAUGAGUGAACACCAGAGACUCUGCACAGUUAUCCCCUCAACUUCUCUACAGGUGCACACACUGGAAGAUUGAGGGGAAAGCAGUGUGGGUCCAUCAUACCCAGACCCUUCCAGUGGAUACUUCCAGGUAUGCUGGCCCGAGAGAAGGUGUUGUGGUCUGUCUUUAGUUGAUGUUAACUUAUUAAAUGUUAUUAAAUAGGGGCACCUGGGUGGCUCCGUCGGUUAAGCAUCUGCCUUGGGCUCAGGUCAUGAUCCCAAAUCCUGGGAUCCAGCCCUACAUUGGGCACCCUGCUUAGUGGGGACUCUGCUUCUCCCUUUCCCUUUGCCUGCUACUCCCCACCAUUCAC
rnacentral:lncRNA from 1 species